GAGGGUAUAGCUCAGUGGCAGAGUGCACACUUAGCAUGCAUGAGGUCCUGGGUUCAAUCCUCAGUACCACCA
rfam:Camelus ferus unplaced genomic scaffold scaffold669, whole genome shotgun sequence.